GCUCGUGAGGGAACGGCGCGGGAACGCCAGCUCCUCCUGCUGGAGGCCGGAGACAGCGGAGUCUGGGGGGGGUCUCUGGGCUGAGGGAGGUCGGCAGAGCCUUGUUCUGUGGAAAUAAACAUCCACGAGUUCUGGAGAACAAAUGUUAUGAGGAGCGGCUGAGGGAGCUGGGGCUGUUCAGCCUGGAGAAGAGGAGGCUGAGGGGAGACCUGAUCUCCCUCUACAACUCCCUGAAAGGAAGUUGAAGCGAGGAGAAUCUGCUGGAUGCUGCUAAUACACAACUUGUUCAAUGUGAAGAUUUAACAUGAGAGGAAUACUUAGAAGUCUCCAAUUUCUGAACUUAAAGGGAAGACUUGUAGAUGAUUCAAUUUAACUGCACUGGUUCCCUCGCUAACACAAGCCACAAAACUUUAGUUCUUUAGGAUCUGAACUACUCUGUAUAACAUGGUUUGAUCCAGCGUAAGCUAAGACAACUUUAAGGAGGUCAGAGGCUUUUUAAGGCAUCCAAAAACAGACCACAGGAAUUUCGAGAGUGAAGCUGAAUGAAAGCAUGGAAAUCAGUCAGGAAGCUGAGGAGGGCGAUAUGCAGUACUGGUUCUGGAAAAAUAACUAUGAAUGAAAAUCACCACUAUACUUUCUAAAGAUCACAUGCGGAGUCAGGACUCCAUUGUACUGGAAGCUGUACCACAAAUGUAUCUCUUGCUUGGGUGGAUAUAUCAUCAAAUACUUAUUUUUAAAAAAAUUUUUGGAAGGAGGGAGUGAGGGAAUGGAAGUUUGUACCCAGUGAAGCACUGAAUCUACAAGUAAACACAGAAUAGAUCACUGAAGUAUUAUGCAGUGGGCACAAAAAUUGUUUUCAGGGCAUUUUAGGACUGCAUGGCAUAUCAUGGAAUCACAGAAUGGUUUGGGUUAGAAGGGACCUUAAAGCUCAUCCAGUUCCAACGCCCUGCCAUGGGCAGGGACACCUCCCACUAGACUGGUAAUUAAGUAAAGAGUUAGCCUGUAAUUGUGAAGGAUCUACAAAAACUUAAACAGUAAACAAGGUGAAUAAAGACAUAACUUAUGUAUGACAUUGAUAUUACAGCUUAAAGGGGUAACCACCAAAUCUUUGGUGUUCUGAACAAGCAAGGAAAAUGUGUAAGAAAAAAUAGUUUGUAACUCAGGCUGCCUGCAGCACUGCUAAAUGAAUGUAUUAGACUCAUAAGGCAUUUUAACUGCACAAGAACAAAGUGUGUGAGCAGUCAGAUUGAAGAGAGGUUAUACGUGAGUACAGGUCUGUUUCUUGACCCUACUUCAUUUUCUCAGAGAGAUAGGGCAUACUCAGGAUCCUUCCAUUUUCUCCUUCAGUUUUCAUGCCUGUCCCUCCAGACAUCUGCGGUGUAGACAUUUGCUCAGCCAUGGGGGUCUGAAUGAACCUAUUCACAACGUCCCAUUGCUGAUCCCCAAUCAGCUGCAAUCUGAUGGAGAGGUGUUCCCCACGGCAGCUCUUCAGGCUGCCUCAUCUCUGUUUUUUCUAAGCUUUGGCUGACCUGAGGACCUGCAGCCUUCAAAACCUUUUGAUACUGCCUAACUAGUUUCUGUCUGGUAAAUAAAAGAAGAAAAGUAUUAGAGCAAAUUCAGUGAAGUGGAUCUUUAGAGCCUCCCACGAAAAAGCUCUGGGUCAGCACCACCUUGCUUUCCUGACGAAGCAAAACUCUAUUUCAUAGGAAAAUACUGAGCGUUCCAAGAGAUGCCGGGUCCAAAUUGUCAUGGCUACAUACCUUUUUACACUUGCCGCUCUGUUUCUCAAAUUG